rnacentral:rRNA from 1 species
AGGGAGCUUGACUGUGAGAGUGACGGCUCGAGCAGGGACGAAAGUCGGGACUAGUGAUCCGGCAGUGGCUUGUGGAAGCGCUGUCGCUCAACGGAUAAAAGGUACCUCGGGGAUAACAGGCUGAUCUUGCCCAAGAGUCCAUAUCGACGGCAUGGUUUGGCACCUCGAUGUCGGCUCGUCGCAUCCUGGGGCUGGAGUAGGUCCCAAGGGUUGGGCUGUUCGCCCAUUAAAGCGGUACGCGAGCUGGGUUUAGAACGUCGUGAGACAGUUCGGUCCCUAUCCGCUGCGCGCGUAGGAAAUUUGAGAAGAUCUAUCCCUAGUACGAGAGGACCGGGAUGGACGAACCUCUGGUGUGUCAGUUGUUCCGCCAGGAGCACCGCUGAUUAGCUACGUUCGGAAUGGAUAACCGCUGAAAGCAUCUAAGCGGGAAGCCAGCUUCAAGAUGAGAUUUCCAUCCCUUAGGGGGAGAGGCUCGCAGCUAGACUACUGCGUUGAUAGGCCGGAUGUGGAAGCGUGGCAACACGUGUAGCUGACCGGUACUAAUAAGCCGAUAACUUGACAACA